CUGACACCAACUGAUCUACCUGCCUCGGCCUCCCAAAAUUUUGGGAUUACAGGCAUGAGCCACCGCGCCUGGCCUGGCAUUGUUUAUUAUUGUGAGUACCAAGUUCUAGUCCAACUCCUGGAGACAGUCUCCAGGUAGCCAACGACUUUGGAGAAACUUGCACUUCAUCCCUUCCUCUUAAACACUCGCAAAGCACGUUAAUAUACUGACAUCUCCUUGAAACAUCACCUUAAAUAAAAAUUUGCUUAUUUUUGAGGAAUGGAUUUCUUCUGCCGGAACACUAACAUCUCCCAGGAUUUGUCUUCACAGAAGACGCUGUGGGUGACGCUGGCUUCCAGCAUGAAUGUGGUGCUUUGAGAGUCAAGCAGCGGGAUCCAGGCUGAGCUGAGGAAGGGGUGGGUGGGGAGCUGGGAAGUGGAGCUUCAGUAAAGUGAGCCUGACUCCCGUUUCUCACGGUCCCCACUCACGAACGUGCGAGUGAUUCCUCCAGAGAAACCCCAGCGCCCUCUGACUUCAGGGAGAGAGUGGAGAGGACCCGUGGGACACGAGGGCUGGGAAGAGAACGCUCACGGAUAAAGGAGGUCUCUGCGGGGGAAGGCCUGCUGGUGCUCUCAAGGGAGGAUCUUCAGACCAAAUUCUGCCUGCCUGGGGAUGGAUUCCAGAGACGCUUUUUAAAAGUCACCACCAGAUCCGGAAGAUUGUCUCUCUGAAGCUCACACAGAGGUGUCAGAUCGAAAGACUCUUUGCCUUGUGUUUCUAGCUCCCCCUGAAAUAUCCAGAAGUGCUUCCAGAAAUGCCUGAAUUGGGAAGCUUUUCCAUUCCCUAGCCUCCAACCCUGUGCUUACCUCUGGCCUAUAGGGAACUCACCUGGAGAAGACAAUAAAAAAAGAAAAAAAAGGAAGAAAAACCAAAAGUACAAACAACAGCAAGCAAACACAUUAAUAGCCGAGCUAGUCUCUCUUAAAAUAAUAAUUUUAAAAUUUAAUCAAUUCAUUGCGUUAUCUGCUGGUCCCCUUUUAAAUAUGUUUGAGGGAGAACUCUGCUCAGAAAAACGAUACAGAUAUCUACAUUUUCACUGCUGAAGAAAUUAAGCGGAAUCUCCCCAAAGCGUGGGGUGAAUGCAAGCCAUCGCACUGUUAUGUAAUAUACAGGCAGGACCACAGAAAAGCAGCGGCUCCAUCUCCAUGGUAUCAACCCACGGCUGCAGAAUGUCACUUUCCAUUUGCAAGAGCUGGGACAUGCAAUGCUCCGGACAACUUGGGGGGCGGGGGGAUGAUACCAAACACUUCCCAAACCAGGGCCCCACCUCUCAUCCUGUCCAAUGGCUUUCUGCGAUUAGUCCCCACCUGUGAGCAAGAACACGUGGUUAGAAAUCAGGCUCUCAUUAAGCACCGUUGUCCUUGGCUCACCUUCAAAGCCUGAGUUCCUUCUAUCUUGGGUCGUUUGCAAGACAUCCCUAUUUCUUCCUGGGAAACAAGCUUAAUUGAUAUAUUUCCCAGUGUGUCGACUCAGUCCUGCAGGAACCCAUGGUACUAAAUUAAAAGCUAGUUUCACAUUUUGAAUGAGAUGUUAGUCAUGUCUGUAUUAAAAUUAAUGAAAGCAGCAGCCCAAGCCGCAAACUACAGUUUCUUCAAGGCAGCCUGAACAUCCUGUCCAAAGUGCCAAGGGAGAAAAUGCUGUUUGAGUCAAUGACCAUAUUUUAAACUUUAAUAACAUUUUGUUUGAAAAUAAAUAAUACAGGUCCCAUAUGAUUUGAAUCUUUAUAUUACAUUUUUUUCAUUUUGAAAAUUAUUAUCCUGUAAUAGCUAAUAACUAACCUCACAUAGCACUUAUUCUUUGCCAAGCGCCCCUCUCAGGACUUUACAAUUGUCAAAGUAUUUAAUUCCCUGAACUGCCCUAUGAGGUAGGUGCUAUGCUGAUCCCUCUUUUACAGACCAGGAAACUGAGGCCAGGCAUGUUAAACAACUUGCCCAGUGUUCCAUGGUCAAUAAGAGGUUUAUCCAGGAUGCAGAUGAAGGCAGAUUUACUUGAGUCCAAUUUUUUAACUUUAUAGCAAUGGCCCCCAAUUGGUUGUGUGUUUCAGGAGACACCUGGAACACCUUUUAAAAACACCUAUACUGAGGCUGAUUCCAGAACAACUGUGUAAGAACUUUAAGACCAGGCUGUCACUCUCGAACCCUGGGGUGGGAGUGGGAGUACGGGUAUUUAGGUAAAGCAUUUAACUUCUCUAACCCUCAGAGGCCUCAGCAUUUAACUUCUCUAACCCUCAGAGGCCUCAUCUGUAAAAUGGGCUAGUACUGGCCCCACCUGGUAAGGUUGUGGUAAGCAUUAAAUGUGUGGCGUUCACCUGUCCUAGUUUACUUAAACUGAGAGGUUUCCUGGGACUUGGGACCUUCAGUGUUUAAACGGAGACAGGGACAAACGGGGACUAUUUGGACACCUUAAUUAGAUGAGCUGAUGCUGUCAUAUCAAUGCACACUUUACCUAGCAUGCCUAAGCAUAGAGUCAGCAGUCGUGAUCCGAUUAAUGUUUUACACACUUCUAUAGUACUUUAAAGCCACCCUUCAUGCAUACAAAGGGUUUUUAAGACAGGAACAAGCAGUCACGCUUGAAGGUCUGAAGAAGGCAGUGUGGGUGGAGCAUAUACAACAGGAAGUUGCUUUUGUCAAUCUCAGUAGUAAGAAGACAAUAAAAAGCCAGAAAACAAUGUACAGUGGUGGGGAUCCAGUCUGGUCUCAUUACUUGCACCACAGCACUGGAGAGUUUGAGAUGGGAAGAGGUCGAAAUCAUUACCACAGAGCAGCCAGUACAAAUCACAAGUGUGAGUCCCACUAAUGACACCACUUAUGAGGACACAGACUCCAAAUGCAGUGCUCAGCACACAGAAAGACAGCCCUAACCGGCACUGACUGCAGCUCUGUUCAACCCUAAUGAACACAGUCAUGGAAGAGGGGUGCAAAGAUAAGGUCAGCAUUGGAGGGCAAAGGUGCUAACUUCUGACACUUGGCCUUUACUGAUCCUUAAAAUGUUAUCGGUGUGUCUUUACCUUAGUACUACUAGUGGAGUCAGGACAUUUCUAAAGAGUGCUGAGACUGUUACUUGAUUGUUUCAUGUCUUGUGGGUCAAAAUUCUUAGGGCGGAAGUUCAAAACCAACAAACAAAAAUGCUUACCUUUUGCUCAUGGCUUUUGUUCCAUUUCUUUUGUAUUUCCUUUUAUGAAUUUAUCUGUCACAUUCAAUAAUAAGUAAAUUUGAAAAAAGUUAUAACACUGAAAUUCUGGCAGAGAGCUAAUUUCUCGUAAGUUGAAAAUCAUAUGAAUGAGGGGGGCUUUUUGAAACAGCAAGCGGGAAGCAAUGCAAAAUCCCUUCACUCCCAGAUGUCUUUGCCUCUUGCAUGUCUACUGUUUUCCAUUGACCCUGGAAUUGCAAAACCCAGAGCCUUCACUGACCAGGCAGGUAAUAGACAUGAGCAAUGCAGGCCUGGACCAGGAAAACCAAGAGUGCCGAUGGGACCAUGAAGGGCCUGUUACACCCUUAUGAGUGUUAGAGCCAGGAGAGGGAGGCCAUCCUCUUACAAUGUAGCUCAGACUCCAGAAUCAUCAGCCUGGUCCCCCCUCUCAGAGUAAAGACCAAAGUUCUUAUGGCCAUGAAUGAUCGCACCUCCCUUCCCCGCUGCCCAGACCUUCCUCCAUUCGUUUUAGAUCUCUGCUCCUGUUUCCUGUGCUCCAGCCAAGCUGGCCUCUGAGCUGAACUUGGGAGAUACCAGGACCUGAUUGCAGAAAAUACAAUUGUUCUUUGGCCUCAUGGAUCUGUGUUCAAACAUUUGCCAGUGGAAACCCAGUGCUGCAUCCUGCUCUCAAUGACCUCCAGCCAAAGCCAGAAGAAGAUACAAAGACACGCUCCCACGCAGCGUCCCUCAGCUCACUCUUGGAAAGUUACGUCAGUCCUUGCUGUGUAAUUUUCACUGUCAUCUUGCUCGAUGGGACUCUUAACGACCACUGUGUUUGAUCUAAUCUGAUAUGGUUACACAUGAGUCCACCAAGUGCAGACACUUGAGAGUCAUUUGUAGGUUACCAUGCACCACUUCACAAGGGAGAAAUUGCAGGAUUGUGCCCCACAAGGACCUGCCCCCUUUCUUCCAUCAUCAAGCACUGCUCAGAAACAUAGCUCUCUUUCCCAGUAACAGAGCAAAAGGACAUCAGCAAGACAAAAUCAUAACAACUUCCAAAGAAGUUCAUUGAAACCAUAUGGUCCUUCUAUUGCUUUUCAUAUAUACGCAAGUCCAUUUCCUUUAGGAAGUUCUUUCAUUCUCAUGGAAGCAACCAGUCAAUAGAGAAACUAAUUUGGGAAAAUACAUUCAGUAAAUAUUAACAUGCUAACCAGAUUCAGAAGGGAGGAUUUCAUUUCUUUAUGAGUCUUCUGGGAAUUUAUAAGGGGUUCUGAUGUAAGGAUGUCUUGAGGAGCCAGGAGAAGACCUAGAAUUAAAGUCUGCAUGGGAUUAAAUUUGCUGACAACUUCGGAGGAGCGAUUGCAGGAAUUUGGGAUGGGGAAGGCUGUCAUGAACCCCAAGCGAUAAAGCGAGGAGCAGAGUUGAGGAGAGGAUUAUUUUUUCUCCUAAAGAAGAAAAUGCUGGUAAUGACUCUAACCCACCAAGGACUGGUGAUUUUAACAUUAUUACGAGAUAGCAGCAUUGACAUGGAAUUUGCAGUUCUCUCCAUGGGCUGUUAGCAGGGGUAGUGACAGUGCUCUGCUGUGUGACUGUUCAGGUAUCAGAACUGGGGAAGAUAAAGGCGGAACCUGGCAGUGAACAAGGACUAGCAAGUUGGUGUGUAGGUACCAGGGAGCCUGCUACUUGGGGUUCUGCAGAAAACUAACAAUAAACAAAACAAACAAACAAACAGGAAGAUGCUUUGAGGACAGCUGGGUUCUUCUUUUAGUAAGUAGAGAGGUAGAAUUCAUGGAAUUUGUGAAUAAACAAUACUGAAUAAACAAUACUGAGUACCCUGAAUUUGUCACAACUGAGUUGAAAGGGAAAAUCGGUAUCUGUGUGUAUCUGUGUGUGUGUGCAUAGCACAAACUCGCCUGUUCCUUACUUUGCAGAUGAAAGGUAUAAAGGAAAUAAUUUUAAAAUUU